rnacentral:rRNA from 1 species
UACGUAGGGGGCGAGCGUUGUCCGGAUUUAUUGGGCGUAAAGAGCUCGUAGGCGGUUUGGUAAGUUGGAUGUGAAAUCUCCAGGCUCAACUUGGAGGGGUCAUUCGAUACUGCCAUGACUAGAGUUCGGUAGGGGAGUGUGGAAUUCCCGGUGUAGCGGUGAAAUGCGCAGAUAUCGGGAGGAACACCAGUGGCGAAGGCGGCACUCUGGGCCGGAACUGACGCUGAGGAGCGAAAGCGUGGGGAGCGAACAGG